AGUCUGGUGCCAGCAGCCGCGGUAAUUCCAGCUCCAAUAGCGUGUAUUAAAGUUGUUGCGGUUAAAAAGCUCGUAGUUGGAUCUCGGUUUCACUCAGGUGGUACACCUUGCGGUGUUCACUAUCUGGGUGGACGUUUCUGUUGGUUCGCUCUUGGUGCUCUUCAUCGGGUGCCAUUUGGUGGCCAGCACGUUUACUUUGAAAAAAUUGGAGUGCUCAAAGCAGGCGUUACAGCCUGAACAUUAGUGCAUGGAAUAAUGGAAUAGGAUCUCGAUUCUAUUUCGUUGGCUUUCGGAGUCGAGGUAAUGAUUAAUAGGGACAGACGGGGGCAUUCGUACUGCGACGUUAGAGGUGAAAUUCUUGGAUCGUCGCAAGACGAACUACUGCGAAAGCAUUUGCCAAGAAUGUUUUCAUUAAUCAAGAACGAAAGUUAGAGGUUCGAAGGCGAUCAGAUACCGCCCUAGUUCUAACCAUAAAUGAUGCCAACCGGCGAUCCGUCGUCGUUAAUUGAAUGACUCGACGGGCAGCCUCCGGGAAACCAGAGUGUUUGGGUUCCGGGGGAAGUAUGGUUGCAAAGCUGAAACUUAAAGGAAUUGACGGAAGGGCACCACCAGGAGUGGAGCCUGCGGCUUAAUUUGACCCAACACGGGAAAUCUCACCAGGCCCGGACACCGGAAGGAUUGACAGAUUGAGAGCUCUUUCUUGAUUCGGUGGGUGGUGGUGCAUGGCCGUUCUUAGUUGGUGGAGCGAUUUGUCUGGUUAAUUCCGAUAACGAACGAGACUCUGGCCUACUAACUAGAAGGUCUAUCCUUUAUGGGUAGGCCUCUGCUUCUUAGAGGGACGGGCGGCGUUUAGCCGCACGAGAAUGAGCAAUAACAGGUCUGUGAUGCCCUUAGAUGUUCUGGGCUGCACGCGCGCUACACUGAAGGAAUCAGCAUGUUCUCCCCUCCCUGAAAAGGGCGGGUAACCCGUUGAAACUCCUUCGUGAUGGGGAUUGGAGAUUGUAAUUAUUCUCCAUGAACGAGGAAUUCCCAGUAGGCGCGAGUCAUCAGCUUGCGUCGAUUACGUCCCUGCCCUUUGUACACACCGCCCGUCGCUACUACCGAUCGAGUGAUUUAGUGAGGACUUCGGACUGGUCUUCAAGUUGGCUUCGGUCGGCUCGAAGUUCCGGAAAGAUGCCCAAACUUGAUCACUUAGA
rnacentral:rRNA from 1 species